GCCAACUCUGGUUUCCUCCUCACCCUGUCUGGGGUCUGGGGAGAUUUUCACCCCAGAGGCAUGGGAGAUGGCCAGAGAUGACUUCCUUUUCUUCUGCCCACUGAGGAACUCCAAAUGGCCAAGCACCUGGUUCCUUGGGCUGGAUGACUUCUCUGUCCGUCUGGCACGCAGCGUGGUCUCAGGUUCUACGUGCCCCUCGCAAAGGGUGCUGACACCCUUCUCUUUCUUCUUUUUCUUCACUAGAGGCAUCUCAGGUGCCUGCCCGUGGACCACACUCUUAGAGGGGGCUGUGGCUUUUAUAGGAGAAACAUGGGCAAAGUAAUCAUCAUUGUUUAAAAUUGAGUAUUGAGUCCCUGGUUCUUUGACCACUUUCUUCUUCUUUUUCUUCUCUGGGAUCCCAGGGCCCAGGUCUACUUUCCGGUGGGCCAAACUUCCCCGCCUCCACGUGAGAGCCGGCUCCGCCGUGACCCGGAAGUCCACUUUCGGGUUGCACGCGUGGCUUCUCUUACACACAAAUUUUCUUCCACUUCUGCCACUCCUGAGACAGCAAGACUGAUACCUUAUUUUCCUCCUCCUCCUUGGCCUACUCAACAUGAAGAUGAUGAGGAUGACGACCUUUACGAUGAUCCACUUCCAUCUAAUGAUUGAGGCAGUGUCUCACUCUGUUGUCCAGGCUGGAGUGCAGCGAUAUGGUCAUAGCUCACUGCAGCCUCGAACUCCUGGGCUCAAGGGAUCCUGCCACCUCAGCUAAGGCCUGCAGUAGCUAAGACUGGAAAGGUGUUUAGCCGUUUUUAGAAAACAGGUACCACAUAAUCAAUCAUCAAACACCCGGGAAAGUUUCCGCCCUUGACAAGUGUAAAAUCUCAGGUAUUAGCAACCCACCUCCAGAAACAAAUCUACCAAGGGUGGAAAGGGGUAGAAAGGAUGUCUCACUUUCCUAGGUGAAUAUAUUGUGAUUGGUAUGUGUGGCAUGCAUUGAGAAAUUACAUUUGCUUACUAACUGCCGUUUAGAAAUCAGCCCGAAAAAGUCUGGGAGAGAUCGCCCAGAGACAGCCAAGCCCCGAGCCUCGCUCCCAAGCUCCUCCGGAGUCCUGCUCUUCUAGGCGCGUGAAGAAUAAAUAGAGUCUGGUCAUUGAUCUCCUGAUGGUGUUGUUGCACUCUGGGUAAUGCUGGGGGUGCCCAGGGACGCGGCGCAGUCCAUGGUUGCGCGUCUGCAGAGAAUUACAGAGAUGGGGACAGAGAACACGCACCUCGGCAUAAAAGCAAAAGGAGAGAAGGCUACAGCGAGGAAAAGAAACGUGUUGCUCGAAUUGUUUCCUUAGU
rnacentral:lncRNA from 10 species